ACCAACUUGGGCGGCGCAAGCAGCGGCGCAGCGGUGGGCGAAGCAGCGGCGCCGUAGUCGGAGAUGACGCAGCGGCGCCUAUGGUUGGAGAUGACUAGCUGCGAGAGACGACGGAAUGUGCUUAACAAUGAAUAUGCAUGACUCAAUUUCUUGGCUUUGGAUGCACUACUUUGUGGUUUUGGAUGAAGCUUGAAAUUGUUAUCAACUGGUGUAUUGAUGUAGUGUUUUGUUGCUUUGGAAGGGAUAUAGAUUAAUGAUAAGUGGUGAAGUUAGGAACAUUGUACAGUUAUCAUAUUAUAAAAGGGGCCAAUGGUUGUAAAAGGGGCUUGGUUUGGUUUAUGGCUACUCUAUUGUAAAAAUUUCAUAUUAAAUAAAUGAGGUUGUUUUGUUCUCAAA